rnacentral:rRNA from 1 species
CCCAGACUCCUACGGGAGGCAGCAGUGGGGAAUAUUGCACAAUGGGGGAAACCCUGAUGCAGCGACGCCGCGUGAGUGAAGAAGUAUUUCGGUAUGUAAAGCUCUAUCAGCAGGAAAGAAAAUGACGGUACCUGACUAAGAAGCCCCGGCUAACUACGUGCCAGCAGCCGCGGUAAUACGUAGGGGGCAAGCGUUAUCCGGAUUUACUGGGUGUAAAGGGAGCGUAGACGGCAGCGCAAGUCUGGAGUGAAAUGCCGGGGCCCAACCCCGGAACUGCUCUGGAAACUGUGAAGCUGGAGUGCAGGAGAGGUAAGCGGAAUUCCUGGUGUAGCGGUGAAAUGCGUAGAUAUCAGGAGGAACACCGGCGGCGAAGGCGGCUUACUGGACUGUAACUGACGUUGAGGCUCGAAGGCGUGGGGAGCAAACAGGAUUAGAUACCCUCGUACG